AACGAACGCUGGCGGCAUGCCUAACACAUGCAAGUCGAACGCCCCGCAAGGGGAGUGGCGAACGGGUGAGUAACGCGUGGGAACCUACCAAGCUGCUGGGGAUAACCGCGGGAAACUUCGGCUAAUACCGAAUACGUCCUUAGGGAGAAGGAUUUAUCGCUGUUGGAGGGGCCCGCGUCGGAUUAGCUAGUUGGUGAGGUAACGGCUCACCAAGGCGACGAUCCGUAGCUGGUCUGAGAGGAUAAUCAGCCACACUGGGACUUGGACACGGCCCAGACUCCUACGGGAGGCUGCAGUGGGGAAUAUUGGACAAUGGGGGCAACCCUGAUCUAGCAAUGCCGCGUGAGUGAUGAAGGCCUUAGGGUUGUAAAGCUCUUUUACCGGGGACGAUGAUGACGGUACCCGGAGAAUAAGCCCCGGCUAACUUCGUGCCAGCAGCCGCCGUAA
rnacentral:rRNA from 1 species